CUCAGCCCUGGGCGGUUGUGUAUGUGCCCGGGCAGUUCCUAAAAGACAGAGCGGGCUGUGAGAAUCGGGAAACAUCAUUCUAUAAGGCAAAUAGAGUGUUCCAGUGAGCUGCGCAGAGGAGGUUGGCUUUAUGGGCAAAAAAAGGCUGAAGAACAGAACAAACAACUAAGGACUGUCUUCAUUUUUAAACUGCAAGUCCUGUGUCUUAGGAAGCCCUUCAAUCCCAAGCAAACCAGGAUGGAUGGUCAUCAAACUGUUAAAGGAAUAUAUGGGAAGUAAACCAAAGGUUUUAUGCAGUUAAGAUAUUUCCUUCUUACAAAUAAGGCAAAGGCUAAUACUUUGUUGUAAUCUGUUGUCUUUUCAGCGGUCUUUAUAGAAUGACAGUCUAAUGCAGUCUAAACCUAAAGUCUGAGCCAUUCAUACCCUGAGUUCUAAUCUCUGUGCAGAACAAUGUUCUAUCAGUAACCCACUAGGACAGAAGCAGAGAUGACUCUACACCCCUCACCCCACCCUUUCCUGCACCGCACACCUGAAUGUCCCCCACACCCAGCCACUACUGGCAUCCGGUGACAUCUUCCUGGCUGGACACAGAACAAGAGUUCUGGCAUAUUUAGGAUACAGUUUCCUAAGUACAGGAAAACUGAAAACAGAACAAAGAAAAAGUGUGGAUGUGAAAAUAACAAAGUGGAAAGAGAGACCAUUGUGUUGUUUGGCCAGGCUACUGUUCAUUUAACUGUAUGGAAAUAGCAGCUAAAUUCUACUUUUAGGAACCCCCUCCCUCCCAGGCCCUGUGAUUGAUAGGAGUGAACCUCCCUCUUCUUCUCAUUCUCUAAGGGGAGCAUAUGACCCAAACCUGGUCAAUGAGAUCAUUUUAUCUUCCCAGCCUCAGUGACUGACUCUGAGGAAGCACGUGACCCAAGCUAGGUCUACACCACCUCCACCCCUAGCCAUUGAGGAUCAAGGACAGCCACCAACCGGCAUGACUGAAGCAGUGGGACAAGGGAAAGUGAGAGGGGGUGUGAGAGGCCUCCCCUCCCACUCUCCCCAGGCACCCCUUACUCAUCCUCCAGAAUGGGCUCAACUGCUACUGCUCUGCAAGGUUUGCGUGGUUAUCCAGGCCCAGCCCCUGCCUGUUUGGCCUUCCCUUGCAGCACCCUCAUGAUUGCUGGCAUCUGCCUCUUCUCCUGCCACUCGGUUAUGAAUUCCUUCAAAGGCAAGACUCUAGGCUGGGCGCAGUGGCUUAUGCCUAUAAUUCCAGCACUUUGGGAGGCUGA